AUUCAAGUUACAAAGUGCAUACGGUGGAUGCCUUGGCAGUAAAAGGCGAUGAAGGACGUGGUAGCCUGCGAAAAGCUUCGGGGAGAUGGCAAACAAUCUUUGAUCCGAAGAUAUCCGAAUGGGAAAACCCACCCCUUUUUAAGGGGUAUCACUAUCUGAAUACAUAGGAUAGUGAGGCGAACCUGGAGAACUGAAACAUCUAAGUACCCAGAGGAAAAGAAAUCAACCGAGAUUCCGUAAGUAGUGGCGAACGAAAGCGGAGCAGCCCGUAGUUUAGUCUUUGACACGUUAGUUGAAUGGUUUGGGAAGGCCAGUCAUAGAAGGUGAAAGCCCUGUAAACGAAAACCUGUCAAAUGUACGCUACAUAGAGUAGGGCGGGACACGAGAAAUCCUGUUUGAACAUGGGGGGACCAUCCUCCAAGGCUAAAUACUCUUUACUGACCGAUAGUGAACAAGUACCGUGAGGGAAAGGUGAAAAGAACCCCUGUUAGGGGAGUGAAAUAGAACCUGAAACCGUAUGCAUACAAGCAGUAGGAGCACUGAUACAUAAGUUUACUUAUGUAUGUGGUGUGACUGCGUACCUUUUGUAUAAUGGGUCAGCGACUUACUUGCAGUGGCAAGCUUAACUGAAUAAGGGAGGCGUAGGGAAACCGAGUCUUAAUAGGGCGUUAAGUCGCUGUGAGUAGACCCGAAACCGGGCGAUCUAUCCAUGAGCAGGGUGAAAGUUAGGUAACACUGACCGGAGGCCCGAACCCGUUGAUGUUGAAAAAUCUUGGGAUGACUUGUGGAUUGGAGUGAAAGGCUAAACAAGCCCGGAGAUAGCUGGUUCUUCUCGAAAGCUAUUUAGGUAGCGCCUCGCGUAUAACUUCCAGGGGUAGAGCACUGUAUAGGCUAGGGGGCUGUCAUGGCUUACCAAACUUAUGCAAACUACGAAUACUGGAAAGUUUUAGCGCGGGAGACACACUAUGGGUGAUAAGGUCCAUAGUGGAGAGGGAAACAGCCCAGACCGCCAGCUAAGGUCCCAAAGUUAUGAUUAAGUGGCAAACGAUGUGAAGGGGCAUAGACAGCCAGGAGGUUGGCUUGGAAGCAGCCAUCCUUUAAAGAAAGCGUAAUAGCUCACUGGUCAAGUCUGUUUGCGCGGAAGAUUUAACGGGGCUUAAAUCAUACACCGAAGCUGCGGAACCGAGACAUUAGUCUUGGUUGGUAGAGAAGCGUUCUGUAGGCCGAUGAAGGUGAAUCGAGAGGUUUGCUGGAGGUAUCAGAAGUGCGAAUGCUGACAUGAGUAACGAUAAUGCGGGUGAAAACCCCGCACGCCGAAAGUCCAAGGUUUCCUUGCGCAACGCCAAUCGGCGCAGGGUAAGUCGGCCCCUAAGGCGAGGCAGAAAUGCGUAGUCGAUGGGAAACAGGUUAAUAUUCCUGUACUUUGUUAUAUUGCGAUGGAGGGACGGAGAAAGCUAGACCAGCCAGGUGAUGGUUGUCCUGGUGCAAGCAUGUAGGUUGACCCUUUGGUAAAUCCGGGGGUCUUUAAGCCGAGAUGUGAUGACGGUCACAGAGGCUUCGGCCGACGUGAGAAGUGGUUAACGCUAUGCUUCCAAGAAAAGCUUCUAAGCUUCAGAUAUAACAGAACCGUACUCCAAACCGACACAGGUGGACGAGUAGAGAAUACUAAGGCGUUGAGAUAACUUGGGUGAAGGAACUCGGCAAAAUAACACCGUAACUUCGGGAGAAGGUGUGCCUCUGAUGGUGAUAAAACUUGCUUUUUGAGCUGUUGGGGGUCGAAGUGACCAGGUGGCUGAGACUGUUUAUUAAAAACACAGCACUCUGCAAACUCGCAAGAGGAAGUAUAGGGUGUGACGCCUGCCCGGUGCCGGAAGGUUAAUUGAUGCAGUUAGCGUAAGCAAAGCUGUUGAUCGAAGCCCCGGUAAACGGCGGCCGUAACUAUAACGGUCCUAUGGUAGCGAAAUUCCUUGUCGGGUAAGUUCCGACCUGCACGAAUGGCGUAACAAUGGCCACGCUGUCUCCACCCAGGGCUCAGUGAAAUUGAAUUUGCUGUGAAGAUGCAGUAUUCCCGCGGCAAGACGGAAAGACCCCGUGAACCUUUACUAUAGCUUUAUACUGAAUUUUGGUUAUGUUUGUGUAGGAUAGGUGGGAGACUUUGAAGCAAAAGCGCUAGCUUUUGUGGAGUCAUCCUUGAAAUACCACCCUGACAUAACUGGAGUUCUAACCUAGUCCCGUAAUCCGGGACAGGGACAGUGUAUGGUGGGUAGUUUGACUGGGGCGGUCUCCUCCUAAAGAGUAACGGAGGAGCACAAAGGUACCCUCAGCACGGUCGGAAAUCGUGCAAUGAGUGCAAAGGCAUAAGGGUGCUUGACUGCGAGACUGACAGGUCAAGCAGGUACGAAAGUAGGUCUUAGUGAUCCGGUGGUUCUGUAUGGAAGGGCCAUCGCUCAACGAAUAAAAGGUACUCCGGGGAUAACAGGCUGAUACCGCCCAAGAGUUCAUAUCGACGGCGGUGUUUGGCACCUCGAUGUCGGCUCAUCACAUCCUGGGGCUGGAGCAGGUCCCAAGGGUAUGGCUGUUCGCCAUUUAAAGUGGUACGCGAGCUGGGUUUAGAACGUCGUAAGACAGUUCGGUCCCUAUCUGCCGUGGGCGUAGGAAAUUUGAGAAGAUCUGCACCUAGUACGAGAGGACCGGUGUGGACGUACCUCUGGUGUACCGGUUGUCAUGCCAAUGGCAUUGCCGGGUAGCUAAGUACGGAAGGGAUAACCGCUGAAAGCAUCUAAGUGGGAAGCCCACUUCAAGACUAGAUUUCCCCCCGUAAGGCUAAAGGUCUGUUGUAGACAACAACGUUGAUAGGCUGGAUGUGUAAGUACAGCAAUGUAUUGAGCUAACCAGUACUAAUAGACCGUGAGGCUUGAAUUC
rnacentral:rRNA from 1 species